UUCCCCACAAAAUUCAAACACCAACCUCUCCUCUCCUCCGUGUCGCCGGCCACCCACUUGCCCCCCAUGGAUCACGCCGCCGAGCACCUCGACCCCACCGCGCCGGCGCCCGCGUCCGCCUCCUCCUCCGCCGCCGUCGCUGAGGUUAACGCGUGGCUGGCCUCCCUUGCCGCGGAGGCCGGGUCCGGGGGCGGAGCGGGAGGGCGAGGCGGCGGCAGCGGGGCUGCCGCGGAGCUCUCGCUGGGGCCCGACCCCACGCCGCGCGGGGUGGCCUACCUCCGCGCUCUGGCCGCGGCGUCACAGGCGCGGUCGCGGGCCGCCGGGAUCGCGGCCGCGGGGCUGCGCGCGCAGGCCUCGGAGUACCGCGCCGAGGCGGCGCGCCUGCGGGAGGCGCUCGAGCGGGCGGGGCUCGCGAGGGACGCGCUACCGCCACCCGCGGCAGCGGCGGCGCGCGCCGUCGCCGCCGUCGCCAAUCUCCUCGCGAUCCGUGACACCGAGAUGAGCAGCUUUGUGGUGGCGAGUGCAGACUUGUCACUGAGGCGAGCAGAGGUGGAGGAGAAGAGAGACAAAGUGCAUAAGGAGUCAAAGGCACUACUUGAUUACACUCGGAAGGCCAUAAACAAGCUUACUGAGCUGAAGAAGAUGCUGGAGAAAUUUAAAAAUGAUGUGGAGAAGCAACAAGCAGAGCAAAUGACAGAUUGGCAGACAAAGCUUGUAAUGAUGGACUCCAAGGAACGUCAGUAUAUCCUCCAAGUCUCAAAUUAUAAGGCAAUGCUUAACCGAGUGGGUUAUACACCGGAGAUCAAUCAUGGUGUGUUGAUGGAAAUGGCCGAGCAUAAGAAGGAUCUCGAGAGGAAGACAAAACCCAUUGCCGAUACGUUAAGAAGUUACCAGGAUUUACCUCCAGAUAAAGCUCUAGCAGCACUAGCUAUAGAGGACAAAAAGAGGCAGUAUGCAGCUGCAGAGAAGUACCUUGAAGAUGUGUUGCAAUCUGCUCUAACCACAACUGGCCUAUAAUGUUCAUAGUUUUGUUUGGUGUAUCUUACAUGUUGGCAUUGAUUGGAAGUGUAAUGUUAAUCAGUUAUGAUCUCAGGAAUAACCAAGACACUCUCCUGACAGCUUGGCCUGUGUGCACGCGUGCGUGUGUGGUUGUCUUAAUGUGAAUGUGAUUAUGGAUGGCCAUUGUGAACUGUUGAAUCAAUGAUCGUGUUUGUCUACAGAUUAGCUGAAAUGUGAUGUUUUAAUUGAUGUACAAUUAUCUUAUGGUAUGCAUGUUCGUUUUCUCUUCUCUUUCAUUCAUUCUAGCAUAUAUCCCGAAUUUGUCUGUAGCAUUGAAACAAAACUCAAUUGCUGAGGCUAUCACUUCUUAUUCUGUGAUUUAUGUGAGAUUGAAAUAUGGUUCAUUUUCA